rnacentral:lncRNA from 1 species
CAGCGGGAUGGGGAGGAAGGGGUGUAUAGGUCGUCAAUGGCCCACUCCGCUACUCAGGCGGAAGGAAGGCCCACCAGCCCAGCGGGGUCGGGCAGGCCCUGUUUAGCCCGACGCCCAUAAAAAUACAAAGGAACUGUAAAAAAAAUGUUAACCGGGUGGGGCGGACAUUUUUCAAAAAGCCCGGUCGGGUGGACAGCUACGGAGAGGUGUGAAGGAAAAUAAAUGAGGUCUGCUCCAUGUAAAAAAAAGAAGAUAGUAAUCAGAAUUCAUCUGAGUAA